ensembl:lncRNA
UCAGAGACAGGGGGAUUAUUUUUCUGGGAUGUGACUGUGGAUUCUUGGCUCCUAGGAUUCCUGGGACUGCCCACUAAUACUGCCCAGCUCCUUGUGGGUGUUCAGUAAAUAAGUACGGAACUGGAUUUACAGAAAUUACUAAAUGAAGUUCCCCGUCUGAGCAAUUCAUGACUUUAACCAAAUUCAUGGACCCGGGGUUGGGUACAGGAGGGUGGUACACGGAAGGAGGCUGUAAAACACAGUUCCUUGGAUUUGGAACCCUGCCUAGCCUGAGCAUACAGUAGACUCAAGGGCCUCGGGGCUUCCUUCCAAGUCAGUCCUGCAUACAGGGUGCCUACUCUUCUUUUCCUGAACGACUUGCCAUCUCCUUCUUUCUCCACUCAGUUUGGCAAGGAAGGCAAGGCUCCCUUUAGUUUCAGUAUCCAAGGGCUGUGGGUAAAGGUUUCUUCUCUGUAGGAGGCUUUUCUUUCCCCAGCCCAAUGGAUUCUCCAGAUCUGGCUAGUCUCUGCUAGUUAGGCUAAGAAUGACACCAGGUUCCCCUUGGGCCUUUUCCAACCUACUUGCUAAGCUUGGGUAAUUUCCUGGCAAAGAGACCCAGCCUGACGACCCCUUCUUGAAGCCCAAGGGUCUCCUCUUGAGAGAAACAAGAGCAGAUGGAGAACCAUCCAGUCCCCUGGGACAGCAGGACAAUCUAGACAAGCUCUUACAGAACGCCAGCAACCAGCUGCAGAGGAAACAGGGUGAAGAAUUGUGUGGCGUGUGAAUUAUAUCUCAUUAAAGCUGUUAUUAAAACAACAACAAAAGCCAUUUACCAGCACUCGACUGGUGAGAAUAGAGCGGCACUGCUGUGCAAGGAGGCAAGAAAAGCAAUGAGCUUCUUCAAGGAAGGGAGAGAAGCAGACCACCCCUGGGCUGCCUGGAAACAGAGCUUAAUAAAUGGCCAUUUCCUCGACUCCAUCUUCCACGUAUUCAUUAUGUAAGCACUUGCUUAGCAUGUAUUAUGUUCCAGGCUCUGGGAACAAAAGAAGACCAAGACAAAACCUCUGCCUUUGAUUGAGAAUCUCAGUCUCCUCUGCCAAGAGGAGUGGGCGUAGAAUACUGGGAAUGGUAGGGGGGAAAAACUGAGCAUUUCUGGCUGGGUUUUGAAUUGGCUGGAGCCUCAUUCUCUGCUUGGCUCAUGAAGUCGCUAAAGGAGUCAGUUUGAGGAAGACAAUGCAAAGGUGGCAGACAGCGCAAUUAAGAUGGUCCAAGACUGUG